GAUGAAGAACGCAGCGAAAUGCGAUAAGUAAUAUGAAUUGCAGAAUUCAGUGAAUCAUCGAAUCUUUGAACGCACCUUGCGCCCUUUGGCCAUUCCGAAGGGCAUGCCUGUUUGAGUAUCAUGAACACCUCAACUCUUCAUGGUUUUCCAUGAUGAGCUUGGACUUUGGGGGUCUUGCUGGCCUGUGGGUCGGCUCCUCUCAAAUGAAUCAGCUUGCCGGUUUUUGGUGGGCAUCACAGGUGUGAUAACUAUCUACGCUUGUGGUUUUCCACCAGGGUAACCUUCAGCAGUGGAGGUUCACUGGAGCUUACAAAUGUCUCUCCUCUGUGAGGACAGCCCUUUGAAUGUUUGAUCUCAAAUCAGGUAGGACUACCCGCUGAACUUAAGCAUAUCAAUAAGCGGAGGA
rnacentral:misc_RNA from 1 species